rnacentral:rRNA from 1 species
UACGUAGGGGGCGAGCGUUGUCCGGAGUUACUGGGCGUAAAGCGCACGUAGGCGGUCUUUUAAGUCGGUGGUGAAAUCCUGGAGCUCAACUCCAGAACUGCCUUCGAUACUGGAAGACUUGAGUCCGGGAGAGGUGAGUGGAACUGCGAGUGUAGAGGUGAAAUUCGUAGAUAUUCGCAAGAACACCAGUGGCGAAGGCGGCUCACUGGCCCGGUACUGACGCUGAGGUGCGAAAGCGUGGGGAGCAAACAGG